UACAGAGGGGGCAAGCGUUGUUCGGAAUUACUGGGCGUAAAGGGCGCGUAGGCGGCCUUCUAAGUCGAACGUGAAAUCCCUGGGCCCAACCCAGGAACUGCGUCCGAUACUGGAAGGCUUGAAUCCGGGAGAGGGAUGCGGAAUUCCAGGUGUAGCGGUGAAAUGCGUAGAUAUCUGGAGGAACACCGGUGGCGAAGGCGGCAUCCUGGACCGGUAUUGACGCUGAGGCGCGAAAGCCAGGGGAGCAAAGCGGGG
rnacentral:rRNA from 1 species